UACCCUUUUUCCUGUAUUCCUGUAUUUCUAUUGGAUAAAAUUGGUCAGCUGUUACUUUAUUGGUCAUGUGACAAUUUUAGUGGGAAAUUUCUUUGUUAAACCAGUUCCUAUUUGGAAGUCUACUUGUGUUUACUUGAAAUUUACAUUCUUUAUCAGAUUAUCAACUACAGUAUUAUUUGUACACCCUGAAUAUUUUUCCUAAUCAACCUUUACACCUCAUGUGAGGUAAGCAUUGUUUAAACAUGGUUUAAGCUUAGUUCAUGUAUAGUUAUAUAUAAAUAUAUAUCAUAGUAUUCGUAGCAUUAUGAAACUGAUUAAUAUUUCUACAAUUUAAUUAUAAACUCAUGUGAAAUAAGUUUGACAUGAUAACGUACAGUUCUAUUUAAACAGAUGUGAUUAUUAUUGUUUAUUUAUGUAAUAAGCAGAUAAUUUAAAUAUAGACACAAAUAUUUUUGAGUCUAGUUUGUAAAGAGGAAUAUUUUCAUAUUUUGUCAAAACUACAUGCUUGUAAGAGUUAUCUUUCCUAACUCGCAUUUAUUUCAUUGCAGGGUUUAUUUAUACCUAUUUUGUAAUUGAUUACAUCAAAUAAAGAAGUAAACUGAA